CCCUUAGAUGUUCUGGGCCGCACGCGUGCUACACUGAACGGUUCAAUGGGUAAGGUAGUGCGAAAGCAUGACCUAAUCUCGAAAUCCGUUCGUGCUGGGGAUAGAAGCUUGCAAUUAUCCUUCUUGAACGAGGAAUACCUUGUAAGCGUGAGUCAUCAUCUCACGCUGAAUACGUCCCUGCCCUUUGUACACACCGCCCGUCGCUCCUACCGAUUGAGUGUUCCGGUGAGGCUUUGGGAGAAUGGCCUCAGCAUGAGUUUAUCGUGUUUUGCCGUUUGAACUUAGUCAAACCUUAUCACUUAGAGGAAGGAGAAGUCGUAACA
rnacentral:rRNA from 1 species